GUAGUCCACGCCGUAAACGAUGUGUACCCGGCGCUGGGACGUGAUUGCGCGCCUCGGUGCCCCAGCUUACGCGAUGAGUACACCGCCUGGGGGACUACGGCCGCAAGGCUAAAACUCAAAGGAAUUGACGGGGGCCUGCACAAGCAGCGGAGCGUGUGGUUUAAUUCGACGCAACACGCAGGACCUUUACCUAGAUUUGACAUGCACCUGCAUACACGUGAAAGCGUGUAGCCUUCGAGGGUGGUGCACCGGUGCUGCAUGGCUGUCGUCAGCUCGUGUCGUGAGAUGUUGGGUUAAG
rnacentral:rRNA from 1 species